AGAGUUUGAUCCUGGCUCAGAACGUACGCUGGCGGCACGCCUAACACAUGCAAGUCGAACGAAGUAGCAAUACUUAGUGGCAGACGGGUGAGUAACAUGUAGGUAUCUGCCCUUUGGCCUGGAAUAACACGAGGAAACUUGUGCUAAUACCGGAUAAGUCUUUACGGAGAAAGCUUUAUGCACCAUUGGAUGAGCCUGCACUUGAUUAGUUUGUUGGUGGGGUAAUGGCCUACCAAGACUGUGAUCAAUAGCUGAUUUGAGAGGAUGAUCAGCCACAUUGGGACUGAGACACGGCCCAAACUCCUACGGGAGGCAGCAGUGGGGAAUCUUGCACAAUGGAGGAAACUCUGAUGCAGCGAUGCCGCGUGAGUGAAGAAGGCCUUUGGGUUGUAAAGCUCUUUCGUCGGGGAAGAAAAUGACUGUACCCGAAUAAGAAGGUCCGGCUAACUUCGUGCCAGCAGCCGCGGUAAUACGAAGGGACCUAGCGUAGUUCGGAAUUACUGGGCUUAAAGAGUUCGUAGGUGGUUGAAAAAGUUGGUGGUGAAAUCCCAGAGCUUAACUCUGGAACUGCCAUCAAAACUUUUCAGCUUGAGUAUGAUAGAGGAAAGCAGAAUUUCUAGUGUAGAGGUGAAAUUCGUAGAUAUUAGAAAGAAUACCAAUUGCGAAGGCAGCUUUCUGGAUCAUUACUGACACUGAGGAACGAAAGCAUGGGUAGCGAAGAGGGUUAGAUACCCUCGUAGUCCAUGCCGUAAACGAUGUGUGUUAGACGUUGGAAAUUUAUUUUCAGUGUCGCAGCGAAAGCGAUAAACACACCGCCUGGGGAGUACGACCGCAAGGUUAAAACUCAAAUGAAUUGACGGGGACCCGCACAAGUAGUGGAGCAUGUGGUUUAAUUCGAAGAUACGCGCAGAACCUUACCAACACUUGACAUGUUCGUCGCGACUUUAAGAGAUUAAAGUUUUCGGUUCGGCCGGACGAAACACAGGUGCUGCAUGGCUGUCGUCAGCUCGUGUCGUGAGAUGUUGGGUUAAGUCCCGCAACGAGCGCAACCCUCACUUUUAGUUGCCAUCAUUUAGUUGGGCACUCUGAAAGAACUGCCAGUGAUAAGCUGGAGGAAGGUGGGGAUGACGUCAAGUCCUCAUGGCCCUUACGUGUUGGGCUACACACGUGCUACAAUGGCAUUGACAAUAGGAAGCAAGAUGGCGACAUCAAGCAAAUCCUAAAAAGAUGCCUCAGUUCGGAUUGUACUCUGCAACUCGAGUACAUGAAGCUGGAAUUACUAGUAAUCGCGGAUCAGCGCGCCGCGGUGAAUACGUUCCCGGGUCUUGUACACACCGCCCGUCACACCAUGGGAGUUGGUUCUACCUUAAGGCAAGGUUUAAAACCCUUGACCACGGUAUAGUCAGCGACUGGGGUGAAGUCGUAACAAGGUACCG
rnacentral:rRNA from 1 species